rnacentral:tRNA from 1 species
GUCCCGAUAGCUCAGUCCGGUUAGAGCGAUCGGCUGUUAACCGAUAGGUCGCUGGUUCAAAUCCAGCUCGGGACG